AUACGGAGGAUCCGAGCGUUAUCCGGAUUUAUUGGGUUUAAAGGGUGCGCAGGCGGGAGAUUAAGUCGGCGGUGAAAUUUUGCAGCUCAACUGUAAAAGUGCCUUCGAAACUGGUUUCCUUGAGUGUAGAUGAAGUAGGCGGAAUUUGUGGUGUAGCGGUGAAAUGCAUAGAUAUCACGAGGAACUCCGAUUGCGCAGGCAGCUUACUAAACUACUACUGACGCUCAGGCACGAAGGCGUGGGGAUCAAACAGGAUUAGAUACCCUGGUAGUCCACGCAGUAAACGAUGAUUACUAGCUGUUUGCGAUACAAUGUAGGCGGCUGAGCGAAAGCGUUAAGUAAUCCACCUGGGGAGUACGUUCGCAAGAAUGAAACUCAAAUGAAUUGACGGGG
rnacentral:rRNA from 1 species